GAGAGAGAGGCAGAGACGUGAGAGGUGACUGAAAGUCAAAGUGAGGAACUGAGAGAGAGACGGAGAAACGAACGCGAACGGAGAGAGAAAUGAACUGAGAGACGAAAGAGAUGACGGAGAUGGCGAAGGAGCAACAAAAAGGAUGGCGGGCGACGGUGAGUCAGGCGGAGACGCGAUGACGAGAUUGUGGCGGCGACGAGGUCUAUUUCAUCAUCAUUGUCAUCUCUUGCUGUUAUAUAUAUAUAUAUAUAUAUGAUUCUUGGGUUAGAUUUGUUAUUGAUUUUUGCAAUGGGUUUGAUUCUUAGGUUUGAUAAUUGAUCUGUUGUAGUUAAAUUUGUUGUUCUAUAUAUAUAUAUAUAUGAUUCAGAUUUUUAGGGAUUCAUAUAUAAAUUAAAUAGGGCCGCUUUGAUAGUGAAUCACAUUUAUUUGUAUAUAUUAUUUUCGGGGGAUUCAUUUAUGAUUUUCUUCCAUUAUAUAUAUAUAUAUAUAUUUGAUUCAGAUUUGUACAAUUCACCCACAGUACCUGCAAUUCAAUAUAAAUGUGGUUAAACCUUGUUGUUAUAAAUAUGAGAGCUGUGUGAAAAAUAGCAAGAACAUAGAAAUUGAUUUACAGUAUUAAUGCGUAGCAUAGCAACGAUGAAGCACAUAUAGUAUUGUUGAUGUGAGAGAAAUUGAUUAUUCCAACUAACAAGGUUGAACCUUGUUAUAUGUAUGAUACUAAAAUUGAUUAUGAAUGGUCUUGUUAUUUGUAGAAAAAAAUAGCAAGAACAGGGAUGGGUAAAACUUGUUAUUUGUAAGAUACUGAAUUGCAGGUAAUGCAAGAAAAUAAUAUUGUUGAUAAGUUGGCCAAUUGUGGUUGGAAGCUGAAAUUGGGAAUGUCAUUUGACUCUGAACAAGUUGCGUAUGACUUUUACAAUACCUAUGGGGGAAAGGUGGACUUCAAUAUUAGGAAGGCCUAUGCAAACAAGAACAAACAUAGGAAAGAGAUAACUUCACGGACGUUUGUAUGUUACAAAGAGGGAAGUCAGGGUAUUGACAAACAAGAUCCACUUGUCAAAAAUCUGAGAUAAGAGAUAAGAUAUGGUUGUGGUGUCCGAUUUAGUAUCAAGUUAGAUAGAAUUUCAGGAAAAUAAAUUGCUUACGAUUUUCUUGAACAUCAUAAUCAUGACCUUGUGCCUCAAGAUUGCAUUCAUAUGUUGUCAUCCCAAAGAAAAAUAUCUACCACCCAAGCAAUUGAAGUAGAAUUGACUUCAGAAUCUGGAAUUCCUCUUAGGUCUGCUUUAUGGGCUAUUUGGUGGGGAAUCUGGUGGAAGAGCAUCACUUAGCUUCAUGAAAUUGGACCAAAAAAUUAUUUGAGAUCGAAGAUACAAAAAGAUUUGGAAUAUGGAGAAGCGAGCAGUGUGUUGCAUUACUUUCAUAAGAAAACUCUAGAAAAUCCAUCAUUUUUUUAUGCAGUUCAAUUAGAUUGUGAAGAGCAGAUAAGUAAAUAUAUUUUGGGCCGAUACUCAAAUGAUCAUGGACUAAUGUCAAUUUGGUGAUGUAGUGACCUUUGACACUACUUACAAAUUAAAUAACGAGCAUAGACCUUUAGGAUCAUUUGUUGGAUUUAAUCAUCAUCGAGAAACAGUUAUAUUCGGUGCAGCGCUGAUGUAUGAUGAGACUACUGAAUCUUUUACAUGGUUAUUUCAAAUUUUUCUGGAGGCAAUGUCAAACAAAGCUCUAAAAAAUAUUUUCAAAGAUCAAGAUGCUGCGAUGGCUAAAGCCAUUCCAAUUGUCAUGCCCGAUACAAACCACCGACUUUGUAUGUGGCAUUUGAUGCAAAAUGUUGUCAAGCAUGUAAGUUCUAUUUUCGAUGAUAUAGGGGUCAAGGCUGUGUUUUCAAAAUUUAUGCAUGACAUUGAUGACGAAGAAGAAUUCCGAAUACAGUGGGAGCAAGUGCUUGAUAAGUAUGAUGCACGCGACAAUCAACGGUUGGAGCAGACUUUUCGCUUGAAGGAGAAACAGGGAUAGCCAUAUAUUAUGAAUUCUUGGGUAGCUAGAAUGAAUACUAUUCAACUUAGUGAAUCCUUCAAUGCAUUUUUGAAGGAUUAUCUGAAUUAUGACCAUAACUUAAUGGAGUUCUUUAUGCAUUUUGAGAGGGUGCUCUAUAAGAAGAGGUAUAAGAAAUUGAAAGCCAAGUAUAAAUUGUCCCAAAAAUUGCCGAGGGUUUCAAUUCCAACUUUGAUGUUAAAGCAAGUGGCAAAGAUUUACGCCAAAACAAUUUUUGAGGAAUUCCAAAAUGAGUACAUGUAGUCUAUUGAAGCAUCCAUUAUAGGCACUAUUAAUGAUGGUGAGAGUACCAUAUUCACAAUAAGAACAGUGGUAGAUGGAAAUUAAAGAUAAGAAUGUGACAAUGGAUAGAGAUGGUUCUUUGAGUUGUAAUUAUAGGAAAUUUGAAGUGAAGGACAUAUUGUGUCGACAUUGUAUGAAGGUGCUUAGAGAUAUAUUCAAUGCAACAAAACUUCCUCCACAAUACAUACUCAAACAAUGGACUAAAAAAGCACGGGCUGAAAGUGUGAAAGAUAGACGUGGGUAUGAAGUGAAGGCUAAUGUGAAACUACAUCAAAGCGACCGAUAUCGCUCAUUAAUGACUAUGUUUAGAGAAAUAACGAGUAGAGCCGCUGAAAGUGAAGAAACUUAUCAUUUGUUAGUUUCAAAAGGUGAAGAAUUGAGUAUAAUGGUUGAAGACAAAUUAAGUGUCCACAUUUGUGGUCAAGUGGAGGUAAGUGAUUUGAGAAAUUCGUCAAGUAACACAUGCCCACAGAGUGAUGAAGUAGAUUGUCCAAUCUAAGCUAAGGGACUCAAGAAAAGAGAAUCAACUAGUAAGGGAAGAAGGAGGACUAAAGGCGGGAUGGAAAAAUCUAUUGCAAAGAAGAAAAGGAUGCAAUCUAUUCUGGGUGCUGCCGUUUAUACUCCCCAAUGUCAAUCUCAGCCUCCUAUCGACAUGGGUAAUAAUUCUAUUCAGUCUGGUGCUACUGUUUAUACUUGCCAAGAUCAAUCUCAACCUCGUUUCGUCAUGGGUAGUAAUUCUAUUCAGGUA